GCAAGUCGAACGCGAAAGUUUUCUUCGGAAAGCGAGUAGAGUGGCGCACGGGUGAGUAACGCGUAAGUAAUCUACCCUGGUAUCUGGGAUAACCCACCGAAAGGUGUGCUAAUACCGGAUACGCUGAUUUAUCAGGAAAGGUGGCCUCUUCAUGAAAGCUACUGUACCAGGAGGAGCUUGCGUACCAUUAGCUAGUUGGUAGGGUAAUGGCCUACCAAGGCAACGAUCUGUAGCUGGUCUGAGAGGACGAAC
rnacentral:rRNA from 1 species